rnacentral:rRNA from 1 species
GAUGAACGCUGGCGGCGUGCCUAAUACAUGCAAGUCGAGCGAACAGACGAGGAGCUUGCUCCUCUGACGUUAGCGGCGGACGGGUGAGUAACAAGUGGAUAACCUACCUAUAAGACUGGGAUAACUUCGGGAAACCGGAGCUAAUACCGGAUAAUAUAUUGAACCGCAUGGUUCAAUAGUGAAAGACGGUUUUGCUAUCACUUAUAGAUCGAUCCGCGCCGCAUUAGCUAGUUGGUAAGGUAACGGCUUACCAAGGCAACGAUGCGUAGCCGACCUGAGAGGGUGAUCGGCCACACUGGAACUGAGACACGGUCCAGACUCCUACGGGAGGCAGCAGUAGGGAAUCUUCCGCAAUGGGCGAAAGCCUGACGGAGCAACGCCGCGUGAGUGAUGAAGGUCUUCGGAUCGUAAAACUCUGUUAUUAGGGAAGAACAAAUGUGUAAGUAACUAUGCACGUCUUGACGGUACCUAAUCAGAAAGCCACGGCUAACUACGUG